rnacentral:rRNA from 1 species
GCAUAUCAAUAAGCGGAGGAAAAGAAACCAACAGGGAUUGCCCCAGUAACGGCGAGUGAAGCGGCAACAGCUCAAAUUUGAAAUCUGGCCCCCAGGGCCCGAGUUGUAAUUUGUAGAGGAUGCUUUUGGCGCGGCGCCUUCCGAGUUCCCUGGAACGGGACGCCAUAGAGGGUGAGAGCCCCGUCUGGUUGGACGCCUAGCCUCUGUAAAGCUCCUUCGACGAGUCGAGUAGUUUGGGAAUGCUGCUCUAAAUGGGAGGUAUAUGUCUUCUAAAGCUAAAUACCGGCCAGAGACCGAUAGCGCACAAGUAGAGUGAUCGAAAGAUGAAAAGCACUUUGAAAAGAGGGUUAAAUAGUACGUGAAAUUGUUGAAAGGGAAGCGCUUGUGACCAGACUUGGGCCCGGUUGAUCAUCCAGCGUUCUCGCUGGUGCACUCUGCCGGCCCAGGCCAGCAUCAGUUCGUGCCGGGGGAUAAAGGCUUCGGGAAUGUGGCUCCCCCGGGAGUGUUAUAGCCCGCUGCGUAAUACCCUGGCGCGGACUGAGGUUCGCGCUCCGCAAGGAUGCUGGCGUAAUGGUCAUCAGCGACCCGUCUUGAAACACGGACCAAGGAGUCGUCUUCGUAUGCGAGUGUUCGGGUGUCAAACCCCUACGCGUAAUGAAAGUGAACGCAGGUGAGAGCUUCGGCGCAUCAUCGACCGAUCCUGAUGUUCUCGGAUGGAUUUGAGUAAGAGCAUACGGGGCCGGACCCGAAAGAAGGUGAACUAUGCCUGUAUAGGGUGAAGCCAGAGGAAACUCUGGUGGAGGCUCGCAGCGGUUCUGACGUGCAAAUCGAUCGUCAAAUAUGGGCAUGGGGGCGAAAGACUAAUCGAACCUUCUAGUAGCUGGUUUCCGCCGAAG